CUGAGGAGGCAGAGGACGGCCCGGAGUCUCGUAGCGCACCGCCCUGGUCCCACACCCCCCGCAGCCCUAGGAGGAUCGGUGUGCUGAGCUUGUGGCCAGGAGCUCCCCGAGCCACUUUCGCGCGAGCAGCAGAAAACCUGAGCCGCGGCCCGGCGAGUGUCGGCGGCGCUCUGGGGAGGAGAGGCUGGGAAGGGGCUGCGAGAGAUGCUACUUAAGAACGUGAGGCUGAGAGGCGGACUUGGUCAGAUCUGCCUGCGUGACAAGCUCAGGACAGGACGCUUCUGCCCUUGCAUUACUGUUGUAAAAGUUUCCACCCAGUCCCUGGUCGCACUGCGUUCCCAUCCCGGCAGAUGUGAACUCAAAAACUUCCUCCGCUGUGCAGUUUCAAUUGGCAGACACACCCUGUACCUGAAUGACUCAGAAGGAGGCAGAAUGAACAAACAACAGACCCCUGACUUCUGGGAUUUUGUGAGUUUGCCAAAAAAAAAAAAAAAAGAAGUGACAGUUAAUUCACAGCUGUUUUAAAGCAUUCAUCGACAGCGACGCACCCAAUACAUACCCACAGCUUCAACAACAGUACAGUGCAUAUAAUGUGGAAACCAAGAUAACGGUCCUCUAAGACUCCAGAGUAGAUCCUAAUUGGAUUUGAAGACUUAUUUCACUUAAAGGGGAAGAGGUAUAUUGUGUCUACCCAGCACAACAAAACGGGGGACUUGGCAUUCCCCCCCUUCUCCCGCCUCCACCCACACUAAUUUAUGCAUUCUUUAAAGCCAAAGGAAUCAAAGUGAAAUUUCACACCUAGUCUGUAUCAAGCAUGUGCUAGGUUAAUUUAACCUUACUGCUCUGUGAAGUAAGUAAGCAUUGCUGGCCAUUUUAUUGUUGAGAGAAGUGUCAUUCAGACAACUAAGGUGACUUGUAGAUUUCCCAGCUAGUGAGUGGCAGAGCUGGGUUCCAAAACCUAAAUAUUGCAAAUGCCUUGCCUUGUGGCUCAAACGCUAUCAGUCAAUAAAUAGUUAAGGAAUUGAAAUAUAUGUUCCUAGAGGGAAACAGACUUCUAGAUUUAAAGUUUUACAUUUGCUGCAUUUCUGACUGUACAAGUCUACAAAAUGCAUAUAAAAGUAUGCUAAUGAAUGUCCUUUUAAAACCACUCAUUUUCUACGUAAGCAUACAAAGUGUAUACAUAUGCAUAUUAAUGAAUGUUUUCUGAAACUUC